rnacentral:rRNA from 1 species
GACGAACGCUGGCGGCGUGCUUAACACAUGCAAGUCGAACGGUGAAGCGCCUUCCUUUUUGGAGGGUGUGGAUGAGUGGCGAACGGGUGGGUAACACGGUAGUAACCUGCCCCCUUCUUCUGGAUAACCGCAUGAAAGUGUGGCUAAUACGGGAUAUUCUGGGUCUGUCGCAUGAUGGGUAUGGGAAAGGUAUUGUUUCGGGGGGGGAUGGGCGCGCGGCCUAUCAGCGUGGUGGGGGGGUGAGGCCGUCCCGAGGCGGUUACGGGUAGCCGGCCUGAGAGGGUGGACGGCCCCACUGUGGCUCUGACACGGCGCCCACUCUUACAGGGGGCAGCAGUGGGGAGUAUUGCGCAAUGGGCGCGAGGCCGAUGCAGCGCCGCGGCGUGUGAGAUGGAGCCCUUCUGUUUGUGAUCCUCUUCCGCCAGUGAAGCAGGCCUGCCUCGUUUGUGGGUGGGUUGACUGUAGCUGGAUAAGAAGCGCCGGCUAACUACGUG